UGUAUAGUUCUAGUUGAAUACAUUUGUUAUAACAUGAAGCUUUUGGCUUGAUGUUAGUAGAGAAGAUAUAUAAGAAGAAAGUACAUUUUCUUAAGAGCAGCGCCGUCUAUGCGUAUUUACAACUUAUCGUCUUAAAUAACAUAGAAAUUUGCUUGGAACUCCUACUAUCUUCAACCUACUCAGUACGUGUAUGUGUCGAAUAAGCAAGAUUCCGUGCAAAAUUUUUCAGUGGGUGAUGAUCACGGUCUGAACGUUUCAAGAUUGAGCGGGUCGUUCUUUCCAGAUUUACCUCCGGCAUCAUCGUUAAGGAUUCCGUCAGACGGCUGGCUCCCAGCGGCAAACCAACUAAGUCUAUGCAUAGAUUCGUAAUGCAUAAUUCUAACCUUAGCUGGCAAUUCAUUAUACUACGACGGGGGCAUGUUCCACGGUCUGUCGCGCUGUCAAGAUGAAGAAUGUUUGAACUACAAAUCCUCUCCGGACCGAGGCAACAAGCGAGAAGACGAUGGACCGCAGACUCCUCUUUGGCGAGGGAAUUCGGUCCAGUCAUCUCAAAGGCUCCUUUUUGCUUAUUUGUUAUAUGUUUGCUUAUAUGUUAGUCGCACUACUGUCACAAGUCGUGCGUACGCCUGGGGGAAUAUGUCAGUCAGGCACUGAAAUGGGUUCGACUUCAUUCAGGUUCUAUUGGAAACUAUUUGACCAUAUAGAUAUCAUUGCUAGCAAAGAUAAAAGAGUUUCUGCACGACAUCAGUGCACGUGAUGACAACAAAGCUUCUAGCGCAAGAAAAUCCUGGGCAAGUCUCAACACGGAAAACCAAUCAGAUUCAGCAGUAUUUAAAGGGGUUGCUGUAAAAAAAAAAAAGUUUCUGAUGUAUAGCAAAAAUGAUAAACAUUGACUGAAAUUUGAAUUAACUCGACAAACUAAGUUAAAAUAUUAGUAUUAGUAUUGAGGCCUUGGAAAAUUGAGCGACCGCGGAACGACCGCUAUAUUCAGUAGUUGUUAUACCCAUAAGGCUUUGGCGAUCGGAAAU